GACGAACGCUGGCGGCGUGCUUAACACAUGCAAGUCGAACGGAAAGGCCCUGCUUUUGUGGGGUGCUCGAGUGGCGAACGGGUGAGUAACACGUGAGUAACCUGCCCUUGACUUUGGGAUAACUUCAGGAAACUGGGGCUCAUACCGGAUAGGAGCUCCUGCUGCAUGGGGGGGGUUGGAAAGUUUCGGCGGUAGGGGAUGGACUCGCGGCUUAUCCGCUUGUUGGUGGGGUAGUGGCUUACCAAGGCUUUGACGGGUAGCCGGCCUGAGAGGGUGGCCGGCCACCUUGGGCCUGCGAUACGGCCCAGACUCCUACGGGAGGCAGCAGUCGGGAAUAUUGCACAAUGGGCGGAAGCCUGAUGCAGCAACGCCGCGUGCGGGAUGACGGCCUUCGGGUUGUAAACCGCUUUCUCCUGUGACGAAGCGUGAGUGACGGUAAUGGGUAAAGAAGCACCGGCUAACUACGUG
rnacentral:rRNA from 1 species